CACGCGACCCCAGCUCAGGCGGGGCC
rnacentral:rRNA from 1 species